CCAAUUUUGCGGUUCGAGAAUCAAGUCAAACACGAAGUGGGGGGGGUUGUGAAAGGAUUGUGAAUGCGGAUAAACUAAAUUAAAACACGGAUGCAACAGAAAUGUAAAAACAGAAUUGCAAAACGAAAUCACAUACAGAAUAAAAAUGGUUGGUCAUUAACUUAAUUGCAAUGUUUCCAAUCACAGAUCAACAANGUUGGUCAUUAACUUAAUUGCAAUGUUUCCAAUCACAGAUCAACAAAAUAAAGCGGCAACUCAAACCUUUAAUCCAACACAGUUAACCAACUAAGCGAAGGCUAAUCAUGUUUUCAUAAAAGCGAACUAAGCGAACACAAUGUUAACAUCAAAUCCAAUUUACACCAUGCAGUUUCAUCAACUAAGCGGAGACUCAACACCAACUAGGCAACUAAACGUAUACCCAAUUGCAAGUGCAAAUACAUAUUUAAUAAUAACAAAGUCAGAGUGCAAAUACAGUGACAAUCCAGAAAUCUCAAAGAAGCAAUGCAAUAUUGCUAAUGACCAACCAAGUUAUUUAAGUUAACAUGGCAACUAAAGCAACAAGACCAAACAUAUUAGACAACAUUAAAACAAAAUAAAAUAAAAUACUAGACACCAACACUAUUACACACAACUAUCUAACAAAGUAAAAUUAAUUUAAAUGCAAAACUAAAUUAGAGAAAUCAAAAGCAACUAAUCCUAAUAUGCAAAUUAAUUUAAAACAAAAGAAAUAAGCAAACAUAACUUUUUCCUAGCAAUUCAUGUGACCAAGUGCGCACCAAAUAAAGAAAUUGAAAAUGCAAAUGGCCAAAGAAGACCUCUUGUACGUAAGCUUCAUGCACCAAAAUCCCAUCAUUCUCUUCCUUCAAUAAACAAAUGAAUAUGAUGCUUCUCCUUUUCCUAUGUGCUUUCCUUUUGUCCUAUGUGCUUCAUUCUCCAAGAAAAACAUGUGUCUUCUACCUUUCUACCAUAAAAACCAUGUCAUACUCUCUCCAAGAAGUCAACAAAUAUUUC
rnacentral:lncRNA from 1 species